AUUGAACGCUGGCGGCAGGCCUAACACAUGCAAGUCGAGCGGGUGAAGGGAGCUUGCUCCCUGAUUCAGCGGCGGACGGGUGAGUAAUGCAUAGGAAUCUGCCUAUUAGUGGGGGACAACGUCUCGAAAGCAACGCUAAUACUGCAUACGUCCGACGGGAGAAAGCAGGGGACCUUCGGGCCUUGCGACACUAGACGCGCCUAGGUCGGAUUAGCUAGUUGGUGAGGUAAUGGCUCACAAAGGCGACGAUCCGUAACUGGUCAGAGAGGAUGAUCAGUCACACUGGAACUGAGACACGGUCCAGACUCCUACGGGAGGCAGCAGUGGGGAAUAUUGGACAAUGGGCGAAAGCCUGAUCCAGCCAUGCCGCGUGUGUGAAGAAGGUCUUCGGAUUGUAAAGCACUUUAAGUUGCGAGGAAGGGUUGUAGAUUAAUACUCUGCAAUUUUGACGUUACCGACAGAAUACGCACCGGCUAACUCUGUGCCAGCCGCCGCCGUAAAAC
rnacentral:rRNA from 1 species